UCGCUACUACCGAUUGAAUGGCUUAGUGAGCUCUCUGGACUGUUGCACCUCCGUUGGUAACUUCGGUGAGCAUACGGGAAGGAGAUCAAACUUGAUCAUUUAGAGGAAGUAA
rnacentral:rRNA from 1 species